UUUUAUCCUAAAAUCACCUUUACUUGCUGAAAUACAGGAAGAUACUAUAUUUCUCCACCUUCUUUACAGGUGUGUGGAAUAAUGGUCCUGCAAUUAAAAAAGAAGGAAUGAUCAUUUGUCUCUUUUAAGAGGCUGUUUUAUGACAUUGAUGGCUUAAACUAGGUGACUAUGAAAGAAGUAUUAAAGGAAACUUGGAUAGAAAAAAUUGGCUGUAUUAUACUUGCUCUGAAAUAUCAUCACCAUCAGAAUGUGGGCAUGGUCUGGAAACCUACAAGUGAUCUGGACUUCAAAUUCGAUUCAAAGGAAAGAAAAAAAAAAAAGCGGUGGGUAAAAGUGCUUGUAAGACUGAAAGUUAUAAUGACAUGCUUUAACCCGUCUUUGAUUUGUGUUUUACAUUGUUGAAUGACGACUGACUUGGAAAGAGGAGUUUAUAUCUUUAUUGCUGAUUUAACCUUCAUUACAUCGCUGUUAUAAUAUAAAGAAAGCCUCAUUUGGUAAGUUUGACAUUGCAUUUUUCAGUAUUUUUUGAAACCUUUUGCUUUUGGCAUACACUUUCCCUAGUUUAAAAGCUGUGAUAUGACUAAUGAAUAGCUGUAUAUCUUUCUUUUUUUUUUUUUUUUUUUUUUUUUUUUAACAUGCACUGGGUGUCUGUCUGUUAAGAUUUGUCAGUUUUCUAUCAUUAACUGUGAACGAAUAUUCCUUAUUAAUUGUAACAGGAGGUGUGGGGACUACAAAGGGGUGACCUGUACCUAGAACACUGUUUCAUUUGUUAUAAAGCUAAAUGUCUGAAGUAUUUAAAAACUGAAACCUGAUAUUCUGUCAUGGUGUCUUCUUACUUUAAUCCUUUAUGGUGUCUUCUUACUUUAAUCCUUUAUGGCCUUGAAAGACUAUCAUAGAGGAAUACUGCAAGACAUAUUCAGAUAUAUAAAUUAUCCGAUUUUUCAAGUCAACAAGUAAC
rnacentral:lncRNA from 1 species